rnacentral:rRNA from 1 species
UACGAACGCUGGCGGCAUGCCUAAUACAUGCAAGUCGAGCGAACAGAUGAAGUGCUUGCACUUCUGACGUUAGCGGCGAACGGGUGAGUAACACGUAAGGAAUCUACCUAUAAGCGGGGGAUAACAUUCGGAAACGGGUGCUAAUACCGCAUAAUAUCUUCUUCCGCAUGGAAGAAGAUUGAAAGACGGCUCUGCUGUCACUUAUAGAUGACCUUGCGGUGCAUUAGUUAGUUGGUGGGGUAACGGCCUACCAAGAAGAUGAUGCAUAGCCGACCUGAGAGGGUGAUCGGCCACAUUGGGACUGAGACACGGCCCAAACUCCUACGGGAGGCAGCAGUAGGGAAUCUUCCGCAAUGGGCGAAAGCCUGACGGAGCAAUGCCGCGUGAGUGAAGAAGGCCUUCGGGUCGUAAAACUCUGUUAUAAGAGAAGAACAAAUUGUAGAGUAACUGCUACAGUCUUGACGGUAUCUUAUCAGAAAGCCACGGCUAACUACGUGCCAGCAGCCGCCGCCG